ensembl:lncRNA
AUGGGCUGGACAAAUGGGAUGGGGCCAAAAAUGGGAUGGGCCCAAAAAUGGGAUGGGCCGGAAUAUGGGACAGGCUGGACAAUGGGACAGGCUGGACAAUGGGACAGGCUGGACAAUGGGAUGGACAGACAGCGGGACAGGCCGGAGAACGGGACAGGCUGGACAGUGGGGUGGACAGACAGCGGGACAGGCCAGACAAUGGGACCAGCCAGACAAUGGGAUGGGCUGGAGAAUGGGAUGGACAGACAGCAGGACAGGCCGGACAAUGGGAUGGGCCCAAAAAUGGGAUGGGCCAGACAAUGGGACUGGCCGGACAAUGGGACUGGCUGGACAGCAGGACGGACGGACAGUGGGACAGACAGACAGUGGGAUGGGCCAGAGAAUGGGACAAGCUGGACAAUGGGACAGGCCAGACAGUGGGACAGAUGGACAGCGGGACAGACGGACAGUGGGACAGGCUGGACAACGGAUGGGCCAGACAACGGGAUGGGCUGGACAGCAGGAUGGACAGACAGCGGGAUGGACAGACAACGGGAUGGGCUGGACAGCGGGACGGACGCUCCCCGGGAAGGGGAUCGGGAUUCUCCGCAAUGCCGGCCGCUCCUGGCCCUGCUGGAACGGGGGCGCGCCCUCGUGGGUUGUGCCUGUAAAGUUGUGGGGUUGGCACCAAACGUUUUGGGGUCCUGGUGUUGUCACCAGAAUUUGUGGAGUCCCGACAUUGUCACCAAAAGUUUUGGAGUCUUGAGGUUGUCCCCAAAAGAAGUCCCAGUGUUGUCCCCAAAAGUUUUGGGGUCCUGGUGUUGUCCCCAAAAGAGGUCCCAAUGUUGUCCUCAAAUUGUCCCCAAAAUUUUUGGGGUCCCAGCAUUGUCCCCAAAAGUUUUGGGGUCCUGGCAUUGUCACCAAAGGUUUUGGGGUCCUGAGGUUGUCCCCAUAAGUUUUGGGGUCCUGGUGUUGUUCCCAAAAGAGCUCCCAGUGUUGUCCCAAAUAGUUUUGGGGUCCUGGCGUUGUCCCCAGGGUGUCCCCAAAGAUGGAGGGGACAAACAAGGGACACAGAGCCCCCUGGGACUGUCCCCCCCCAGCUGGCACCAGGAUGAGCCAGGAUUUGGGAUUUCAGGAUUUGGGAUUUUGGGAUUCCGGGACCAUUCCUGGCCGAUGGAAUCCUCGCUCCGCCAUAUAAACUCAUUAAUUAACGCCAAUUAA